rfam:Candidatus Methylomirabilis oxyfera complete genome.
AGUCCCGCGAGAGGCUGUCCGAAGGAAGCCGGCGGCAAAGCUGCGAGCCGAGGAACACGAACGCCAUAGAAGGCCGACAUCCCCGGGGCGAGUCAGCACAACAUGACAAAGCCCUGUGGUUCGGGGGACACGGUAAAUGGCGCGGUUGUGCAGCCAUAGUGCAUGUC